rnacentral:rRNA from 1 species
UGCCAGCCUCCGCUGUACUCCUGAUGGUGCGAGCAUUAAUCGGAAUUACUGGGCGUAAAGCGCGCGUAGGUGGUUUGAUAAGCUAGCUGUGAAAGCCCCGGGCUCAACCUGGGAACUGCAGUUAGAACUGUCUGGCUAGAGUACAGUAGAGGGUGGCGGAAUUUCCUGUGUAGCGGUGAAAUGCGUAGAUAUAGGAAGGAACAUCAGUGGCGAAGGCGGCCACCUGGACUGAUACUGACACUGAGGUGCGAAAGCGUGGGGAGCAAACAGGAUUAGAUA